GGGAAGGUGGCUCAGUGGUAGAGUGCUUGCCUUGCAUGCAUGAGGCCCUAGGUUCCAUUCCUCAGUACCA
rfam:Dipodomys ordii contig_18083, whole genome shotgun sequence.